rnacentral:rRNA from 1 species
GGACCCGCACAAGUAGUGGAGCAUGUGGUUUAAUUCGAAGAUACGCGCAGAACCUUACCAACACUUGACAUGUUCGUCGCGACUUUAAGAGAUUAAAGUUUUCGGUUCGGCCGGACGAAACACAGGUGCUGCAUGGCUGUCGUCAGCUCGUGUCGUGAGAUGUUGGUUAAGUCCCGCAACGAGCGCAACCCUCACUUUUAGUUGCCAUCAUUUAGUUGGGCACUCUGAAAGAACUGCCAGUGAUAAGCUGGAGGAAGGUGGGGAUGACGUCAAGUCCUCAUGGCCCUUACGUGUUGGGCUACACACGUGCUACAAUGGUCGGUACAGAGGGCAGCUACCACGUGAGUGGAUG